rnacentral:rRNA from 1 species
UGGGGAAUUUUGCGCAAUGGGGGAAACCCUGACGCAGCAACGCCGCGUGGAGGAUGAAAUCCCUUGGGAUGUAAACUCCUUUCGAUGGGGAAGAUUAUGACGGUACCCAUAGAAGAAGCCCCGGCUAACUUCGUGCCCGCAGCCGCGGUAAUACGAGGGGGGCAAGCGUUGUUCGGAAUUACUGGGCGUAAAGGGCGCGUAGGCGGCCUGCUAAGUCGAACGUGAAAUCCCCGAGCUCAACUCGGGAACUGCGUCCGAUACUGGCAGGCUUGAAUCCGGGAGAGGGAUGCGGAAUUCCAGGUGUAGCGGUGAAAUGCGUAGAUAUCUGGAGGAACACCGGUGGCGAAGGCGGCAUCCUGGACCGGCAUUGACGCUGAGGCGCGAAAGCCAGGGGAGCAAAC